rnacentral:lncRNA from 1 species
AGAGCUGGCGGCAAAUGCUAGAAUCCAAAGUGCAGGCACAAGAACAAAGAAUGAUGGAGGAAAUCAAUCGUCGAGUGGCCCACGCAGUUGCGGAGUUGGCCCAAUCUGGAGCAUAGCCGAAUCCUAACAAUGCCAGCCCUUCUCAACAUCUCUUGAGCAGUUGUGCUUCUACAGGGGUCCCCGAUGCGCAGACGCCCAGGUUACCCAUUGAGG